rnacentral:rRNA from 1 species
UACGUAGGGUGCAAGCGUUGUCCGGAAUUAUUGGGCGUAAAGAGCUCGUAGGCGGUUUGUCGCGUCUGCUGUGAAAUCCCGAGGCUCAACCUCGGGCCUGCAGUGGGUACGGGCAGACUAGAGUGGGGUAGGGGAGAUUGGAAUUCCUGGUGUAGCGGUGGAAUGCGCAGAUAUCAGGAGGAACACCGAUGGCGAAGGCAGAUCUCUGGGCCGUAACUGACGCUGAGGAGCGAAAGCGUGGGGAGCGAACAGG